UAGGGAAUCUUCCACAAUGGGCGCAAGCCUGAUGGAGCAACACCGCGUGAGUGAAGAAGGGUUUCGGCUCGUAAAGCUCUGUUGUUAAAGAAGAACACGUAUGAGAGUAACUGUUCAUGCGUUGACGGUAUUUAACCAGAAAGUCACGGCUAACUACGUGCCAGCAGCCGCGGUAAUACGUAGGUGGCAAGCGUUAUCCGGAUUUAUUGGGCGUAAAGAGAGUGCAGGCGGUUUUCUAAGUCUGAUGUGAAAGCCUUCGGCUUAACCGGAGAAGUGCAUCGGAAACUGGAUAACUUGAGUGCAGAAGAGGGUAGUGGAACUCCAUGUGUAGCGGUGGAAUGCGUAGAUAUAUGGAAGAACACCAGUGGCGAAGGCGGCUACCUGGUCUGCAACUGACGCUGAGACCCGAAAGCAUGGGUAGCGAACAGGAUUAGAUACCCUGGUAGUCCACGCCGUAAACGAUGAGUGCUAGGUGUUGGGUCCUUUCCGGGGCUCAGUGCCGCAGCUAACGCAUUAAGCACUCCGCCUGGGGAGUACGACCGCAAGGUUG
rnacentral:rRNA from 1 species